UCAGGACGAACGCUGGCGGCGUGCUUAACACAUGCAAGUCGAACGAUGAAGCCCUUCGGUGUGGAUUAGUGGCGAACGGGUGAGUAACACGUGGGCAAUCUGCCCUUCACUCUGGGACAAGCCCUGGAAACGGGGUCUAAUACCGGAUAACACUUUCUCUCUCAUGGGGGAAGGUUAAAAGCUCCGGCGGUGAAGGAUGAGCCCGCGGCCUAUCAGCUAGUUGGUGGGGUAAUGGCCUACCAAGGCGACGACGGGUAGCCGGCCUGAGAGGGCGACCGGCCACAAUGGGACUGAGACACGGCCCAGACUCCUACGGGAGGCAGCAGUGGGGAAUAUUGCACAAUGGGCGAAAGCCUGAUGCAGCGACGCCGCGUGAGGGAUGACGGCCUUCGGGUUGUAAACCUCUUUCAGCAGGGAAGAAGCGAAAGUGACGGUACCUGCAGAAGAAGCGCCGGCUAACUACGUGCCAGCAGCCGCGGUAAUACGUAGGGCGCAAGCGUUGUCCGGAAUUAUUGGGCGUAAAGAGCUCGUAGGCGGCUUGUUGCGUCGGUUGUGAAAGCCCGGGGCUUAACCCCGGGUC
rnacentral:rRNA from 1 species